AACGCACGAGACCUGCGGACCUGCGGAGGGAUCAUUAAUGAGAAACUGCCCCUCGCGGGUAGAUCUCCCACCCUUUGUAAACUUACCUUUGUUGCUUUGGCAGGCCCGUCUCCGGACCGCCGGCUUCGGCUGGCCAGUGCCUGCCAGAGGAUUCUAAAACUCUGUCUGUCAGUGUUGUCUGAGUCUAUUUACAAUCGUUAAAACUUUCAGCAACGGAUCUCUAGAUCGGAAGAGCACACG
rnacentral:misc_RNA from 1 species